rnacentral:rRNA from 1 species
AGAGUUUGAUCCUGGCUCAGGAUGAACGCUAGCGGCAGGCCUAAUACAUGCAAGUCGGACGGGAUUUGGGAGCUUGCUCCUAAUGAGAGUGGCGCACGGGUGCGUAACACGUAUGUAACCUACCUUAAUCUGGGGGAUAGCCUCUCGAAAGAGAGAUUAACACCGCAUAACAUUAUCGGAUAGCAUUUUCUGAUAAUCAAAUAUUUAUAGGAUUAAGAUGGGCAUGCGGAACAUUAGCUAGUUGGUAAGGUAAUGGCUUACCAAGGCUACGAUGUUUAGGGGAUCUGAGAGGAUGACCCCCCACACUGGUACUGAGACACGGACCAGACUCCUACGGGAGGCAGCAGUAAGGAAUAUUGGUCAAUGGGCGCAAGCCUGAACCAGCCAUGCCGCGUGCAGGAAGACGGCCCUACGGGUUGUAAACUGCUUUUGUACCGGAAUAAACCUUUUCACGUGUGAGAAGCUGAAUGUACGGUAAGAAUAAGGAUCGGCUAACUCCGUGCCAGCAGCCGCGGUAAUACGGAGGAUCCAAGCGUUAUCCGGAUUUAUUGGGUUUAAAGGGUGCGUAGGCGGUUCUUUAAGUCAGGGGUGAAAGACGGUAGCUUAACUAUCGCAGUGCCUUUGAUACUGAAGAACUUGAAUACACUUGAGGUAGGCGGAAUGUGACAAGUAGCGGUGAAAUGCAUAGAUAUGUCACAGAACACCAAUUGCGAAGGCAGCUUACUAAAGUGUCAUUGACGCUGAGGCACGAAAGCGUGGGGAUCAAACAGGAUUAGAUACCCUGGUAGUCC